GACGAACGCUGGCGGCGUGCUUAACACAUGCAAGUCGAACGGAAAGGCCCUGCUUUUGUGGGUUGCUCGGGUGGCGAGCGGGUGAGUAACACGUGAGUAACCUUCCCUUGACUUUGGGAUAACUUCAGGAAGCUGUGGCUAAUACCGGGUAGGCGCUCCUGCUGCAUGGGGGGGGUUGGAAAUUUUCGGCGGUUGGGGAUGGACUCGCGGCUUAUCAGCUUGUUGGUGGGGUAGUGGCUUACCAAGGCUUUGACGGGUAGCCGGCCGGAGAGGGUGACCGGCAACAUUGGGACUGGGAUCGGGCCCAGACUCCUCCGGGAGGAAGAAGGGGGGAAUAUGGAAAAAUGGGCGGAGGCCUGAGCAAGCAAGGCCGGGGGCGGGAUACGGGCUUCGGGGUUGUAACCCGCUUUGGCAUGUGACGAAGCGUGAGUGACGGUAAUGGGUAAAGAAGCACCGGCUAACUACGUG
rnacentral:rRNA from 1 species